ACAGUCUCCCGCCUUUUGACUAAAAUCUAGUGCAGUGUCUGUUCUUAUCAGCUUAAUAUCUGAUAUGUUCUCAACAUGAGGAUGCUGUACUGUGUCUUUUUGAAGUAGGGAGGUGGGUUGGGAGCUUGCUCUGUCCCCUUCACUUGUCGGCCUGUUAUUGUAGUGCUUCCAGGACAGGUGUCUUUUCC